AACGCCACUGAUGUCCAGAUAUGGAGUGUUGGUGUUUGCUAGAACUCCUUGCAAUUUCUAAGAAGAAAGCUGUAAAAAGGGGGACGAGCCUAUAGAAGAAAUGCAUGGUUGACAGAUGUGUGAAGGAAAACGUUGUACUGUGGAGCAUUUAUCUACGUUCUUUAUUAAUCGGUACUCAGAUAUCAGGUAACUGCUUCUGAAUGGAGACCAAUUCUAUCAAACGUGGAAGAUUCACCUGUAGAAAGUCUUAUUAACUCCCAGAUGGAGAUGCUCAAUGGUACCCAACUUCCAGGGACCUGUUCCUGAUGCACGCAUGGGAGGGAGCUCUGCCUUCUGUCUCUGAAGCUCCCACCAUGAAUCGCCAAUAGACUCAUUUCUUGACACAUCCCCCGACUGGCUGAGUUUCAUCCUCUGAAUUAUGAGACAAGAAAACCCAGAGACCACAGACUUAGUGGAAGCUUAUGUGACCACCAGUGUCUGACACUCUCACUCCUGAGAUAAAGCCCACCUGAAUAUAGAGAGAAAACCUCCAUGGACUUCAAAGACACCCUGCUUGCUCUGUAUCAGCAUCGUUAGGGGUCCUGCCUUUGGAUUACAUUACUUCACUUCUAGUGGGACUUCAGCUACUUCCUGUGGCAGUGAGUUGUUUUAAGACAGUGAGACGAGCCCCUUCAGGGUGUCUAGUACCCUGUCCAGCUAUUCAAUCUCUUCAAUCUCUUCCACCUCUUCUGCCGUGAUGAUGAUCAAGCCAUGUGGCCACGAGUCACUUACAAGUUCCACCUAAGACUUGGUGCCAUGCU